GUAGGGAAUAUUGGGCAAUGGAGGCAACUCUGACCCAGCCAUGCCGCGUGCAGGAUGACGGCCCUCUGGGUUGUAAACUGCUUUUAUACGGGAAGAAAAAAUACUACGUGUAGUAUACUGACGGUACCGUAAGAAUAAGGAUCGGCUAACUCCGUGCCAGCAGCCGCGGUAAUACGGAGGAUCCAAGCGUUGUCCGGAUUUAUUGGGUUUAAAGGGUGCGUAGGCGGAUCUUUAAGUCAGUGGUGAAAGCCUGCAGCUUAACUGUAGAAUUGCCAUUGAAACUGAAGAUCUUGAAUGGGGUUAAAGUAGGCGGAAUGUAUCAUGUAGCGGUGAAAUGCUUAGAUAUGAUACAGAACACCGAUAGCGAAGGCAGCUUGCUGAACCAUUAUUGACGCUGAGGCACGAAAGCGUGGGGAGCGAACAGGAUUAGAAACCCUGGGUAGUCC
rnacentral:rRNA from 1 species